UCCUACGGGAGGCAGCAGUGGGGAAUAUUGGACAAUGGGGGCAACCCUGAUCCAGCCAUGCCGCGUGUGUGAAGAAGGCCCUCGGGUUGUAAAGCACUUUCAGCGAGGAAGAACGCCUAGCGGUUAAUACCCGCUAGGAAAGACAUCACUCGCAGAAGAAGCACCGGCUAACUCCGUGCCAGCAGCCGCGGUAAUACGGAGGGUGCAAGCGUUAAUCGGAAUUACUGGGCGUAAAGCGCGCGUAGGUGGCUUGAUAAGCCGGUUGUGAAAGCCCCGGGCUCAACCUGGGAACGGCAUCCGGAACUGUCAAGCUAGAGUGCAGGAGAGGAAGGUAGAAUUCCCGGUGUAGCGGUGAAAUGCGUAGGGAUCGGGAGGAAUACCAGUGGCGAAGGCGGCCUUCUGGACUGACACUGACACUGAGGUGCGAAAGCGUGGGUAGCAAACAGGAUUAGAUACCCUGGUAGUCCACGCCGUAAACGAUGUCGACCAGCCGUUGGGUGCCUAGCGCACUUUGUGGCGAAGUUAACGCGAUAAGUCGACCGCCUGGGGAGUACGGCCGCAAGGUUAAAACUCAAAUGAAUUGACGGGGGCCCGCACAAGCGGUGGAGCAUGUGGUUUAAUUCGAUGCAACGCGAAGAACCUUACCUACUCUUGACAUCCUGCGAAUUUGGUAGAGAUACCUUAGUGCCUUCGGGAACGCAGAGACAGGUGCUGCAUGGCUGUCGUCAGCUCGUGUUGUGAAAUGUUGGGUUAAGUCCCGUAACGAGCGCACCCUUGUCCUUAUUUGCCAGCGCGUAUGCGGGACUCUAGAGACUGCGUGACAAACCGGAGGAAGUGGGGACGACGUCAAGUCAAUCAUGGUCU
rnacentral:rRNA from 1 species